rnacentral:lncRNA from 1 species
AUAUACCUACACCAUUAAGAUGAUCCGAUAGAGUACUACGUCAGUCAGAUAGAUACUACGAUUUCUUGAUCCAAGACGGUGAUCCCAUCGAACUCGAUGAGAAGGAUGAGGAUCCGAUCACCUAUAUGGAUCAAUACAAAGAUCUGAUUUUGAGAAAUGGCUUGAAGCUAUGAAAUUCGAAAUGGAAUCCAUGAAGGUCAACGAUGUAUGACAUUGGUUGACCCACC